GGCAGCUGCCGCCCCAUGCCAGAGGGCUCCGCUGCCGCGGGGACACCGCGUGUUCCCCGCCCGGAGAUGCGGUGGGAGCGGGUCCCGAGCGCUCCCGGCGCCGCUCCCGCUGCUCUCGCGGUGGCGAUGCCGGCUCAGCGCCUCCUUCCCAGCCCGCGAGCUCCGCUGAGGAAGGCGCUGCGCUUCGGCCGCUCCUGAUCUCGCUGAGGGAAUCGCUGCGCUCCCGCUGGCUCCUGGCUGCUCACGCCUGUCCCCAUGGAAGUCAGCACGGAGAGAAUUAGCCCGGAACGAGACUUCUGCUGGUUUUAGACCUUCACAGACAAGAAAUUACUUCAGCAUGUGCUUGACUUCAAAAAGAUGACUCUCCUAAAGACAGGGCUGAUGUAGAGCUGAAAUGAAGAAGGGAUGGGAUUCAACCACUCCUUCAGCAUGGGACAGCAUCAGCCACGCUGGUGGAAGGCAGGAGGAGGGAAAAAAGUGAAAAAAGGGUAAUGCUGCCUUAGCUCUUCCUCCCCCAUCUUCUCUUUGCCCCCACAAAUCCACCCUGGCAGAAGAUAUGGCUUAGAAUCCAAUUUGCUUUAGGAUUACUCUUUGUGAGAAACUCCUGGAAACUCCUCUUUUUCUCAUUACUUUAGAGUGAGAAGGUUUGGAAAUGGGGUUUUCUGCAGCUCCUAGGAGCAUUAUAUACCUAAAUGCCCCAUUUCUAAAAACGUGCAUCUAUUAGCUCUUCUGAAAACAAAAUGAAACAAAACAAAAAACUUUACUAUAAUCAAUUACAAAAUUCACCAUACCAGAUAGAGUCUUGUACAUAGCAGUAAAGCUACAUCUGCUGUUUUUCACAGUGUGGUGUAUUAUCAUUGUCUCCUGCUGAGAGGGGUGAAUUUCUGCAUCCAAAAACUUAAACCAAAGGUUUAUCCUCAAUAGAUGUCAUCUUAUUGAACAAGAUACCUAAUCUCAGGCACUCAGGACUGAAAAUGUUAGAGUUUGUUGGCAUCUCUCAGAAUCUUAGGAGUAAGAGGAACCUAGUCUGCCUAGUCUGAAAAGUUUCUUUCAGAUGGCUUUAAGUAUUUUGUGGAUGAUUACAGCCUGAACAUUUGACUACAUGCCACUUCAUUAGACUUACUCAUUUUUUUGUUCUUACCAUAGAUGGGAAAUUAAAAGUGAUCUCCGAUAUUUGAUUUCCCAUAAGAUAUGAGAGAUAUUCAGGGCAGUGUCUGGAAAAAAAUUAGGAUAAUAAGGUGUAUAAAUCUCUGCUUCAUUUGAAACAACGCAUAAAAGCCAACCUCACAUUAAUUUUUUUUGCUGAAAGAACUUCAAUAAGUUUUAAAGUAAGUGUUUCAUUUACUGCCACAUGCCACACAUACAUGGCAAACAGUUUAUACAAACCACAACACUCAGCUGUUCCUGGUUAGGUAGAACAGCCCUCCCCUGAACACCCAAGCUGCUCCUGGUUCCCUUGGGACUCUGGUACAGGGUGCUGACGGUUUCAGCUGGUCCAAGAAAGAACUCAGGGACAUGUGGGGUGAGGAGUCAUCUUCUGAGGAUGUGCUGGUGAAGCCUUGGCUGAGUUGUGCUCAAGGUUUUGCUAGCUCAGAGCAGAAUGCUGUGCACUUCAGAAGACAGCUUACAGUGUAACUAUUCCCGACCUGGUGGUCCAGCUAUAAUGCCUUCUUCGUGUGGUGCUCAGGGAGCUUUAUUGGACUUCCCACUCACCAGAAACUCCUCUGUGCACACACACAACGGGGCUGGCUUUGUGUGGCCAGGUGCUACACGGGUGCCUUCACUGAAACGCUUCCUCCAUGUCCCACUGAGCCAAUUCCAGCCAGAUCCAAAUGGACCAAGGCUGAGCCCAUCAGCGUGAGGGGAGAGCCUCUGGGCUGAGGUAUUUAGAAAUGAAACAAAAUGUCCAGCUACUUCAGACAGAAAGAGGAGAAAGAACA